GACGAACGCUGGCGGCGUGCCUAAUACAUGCAAGUAGAACGCUGAAGGAGGAGCUUGCUUCUCUGGAUGAGUUGCGAACGGGUGAGUAACGCGUAGGUAACCUGCCUGGUAGCGGGGGAUAACUAUUGGAAACGAUAGCUAAUACCGCAUAAUAUUGACUAUUGCAUGAUAGUCAGUUGAAAGGUGCAACUGCACCACUACCAGAUGGACCUGCGUUGUAUUAGCUAGUUGGUGGGGUAACGGCUCACCAAGGCGACGAUACAUAGCCGACCUGAGAGGGUGAUCGGCCACACUGGGACUGAGACACGGCCCAGACUCCUACGGGAGGCAGCAGUAGGGAAUCUUCGGCAAUGGACGGAAGUCUGACCGAGCAACGCCGCGUGAGUGAAGAAGGUUUUCGGAUCGUAAAGCUCUGUUGUAAGAGAAGAACGAGUGUGAGAGUGGAAAGCUCACACUGUGACGGUAUCUUACCAGAAGAGGACGGCUAACUACGU
rnacentral:rRNA from 1 species